rnacentral:rRNA from 1 species
UACGUAGGUGGCAAGCGUUAUCCGGAAUUAUUGGGCGUAAAGAGCGCGCAGGUGGUUAAUUAAGUCUGAUGUGAAAGCCCACGGCUUAACCGUGGAGGGUCAUUGGAAACUGGUUGACUUGAGUGCAGAGGAGGGAAGUGGAAUUCCAUGUGUAGCGGUGAAAUGCGUAGAGAUAUGGAGGAACACCAGUGGCGAAGGCGGCUUCCUGGUCUGCAACUGACACUGAGGCGCGAAAGCGUGGGGAGCAAACAGG